rnacentral:rRNA from 1 species
AUUGAACGCUGGCGGCAGGCUAACACAUGCAAGUCGAGCGGGUGAGGUUGCUUCGGUAACUGAGCUAGCGGCGGACGGGUGAGUAAUGCUUAGGAAUCUGCCUAUUAGUGGGGGACAACAUUCCGAAAGGAAUGCUAAUACCGCAUACGCCCUACGGGGGAAAGCAGGGGAUCUUCGGACCUUGCGCUAAUAGAUGAGCCUAAGUCAGAUUAGCUAGUUGGUGGGGUAAAGGCCUACCAAGGCGACGAUCUGUAGCGGGUCUGAGAGGAUGAUCCGCCACACUGAGACUGAGACACGGCCCAGACUCCUACGGGAGGCAGCAGUGGGGAAUAUUGGACAAUGGGCGCAAGCCUGAUCCAGCCAUGCCGCGUGUGUGAAGAAGGCCUUUUGGUUGUAAAGCACUUUAAGCGAGGAGGAGGCUACUUGGAUUAAUACUCUAGGAUAGUGGACGUUACUCGCAGAAUAAGCACCGGCUAACUCUGUGCCAGCCGCCGCCGUAACAC